UUUGACCGCGCGCGUGUGGGCGCUGACCUUGCGGGACUUCUCCAGCAGCUUGCUCACCGUGUUGCUGGUGGAGGCCUGGUACUUGGAGAGCUUGGUGAGGUCAUUCUGGAUGCCCUUCACGGAGCCCUCCAAACUGAUCUGUCGCUGCUCCAUCUUGUGCUGGUUCUCCUGCACAGCGUCUAGCAUGUUCACCAGCUUGUCCAGGAGCGUGAGCACCGUGACUGCGUUCACCUGCAUUGUGGCUCUGGAGACCUGGAAGCACUGCUAACUGUUCUCUCGAUUUUCUGACGCUCGGCCACAUCAACCUGUCAUACUAGUUGUGAGGAGAAGUCAAGGACAGUGACACAGCCAGCCAGUCUGAGGCAUUUUCCAUCAUCCUGAAGGAGUUGCCCUAUCCUGCUUUUCACUGGAGGGGGCAUGGAUGGGGGCUCCUGACACACUGACCUCUGUCAGUUCCUUCAGCACACCAGGCUAAUCCCCAGUCUUGCGCCUUUGGACCA
rnacentral:lncRNA from 1 species